AGACAGACCGCCAGCCCAGCAGAAGCAACUGGGUGUGGCCUGACUCCCAGGGAGUCCUGGGGAAUCCCUGCAACUGAGCAAAUUUCGCUCCUGCCUCUUCCAGAUUCUCCAGGGAGCUGUCCUCUCCUCUGAGGUCCAAGUUAGCUAGCCUAUUCUCCAGUGAAAAAACUGAUAGAAGGUAUCCAGUUUUCAGGAUUGUCUGGGGGGAAAUGGAGGCAGUCCAGCAGAAAGAUCAUCGAUUCAAGUGUAGCGGACUUGGGUUCAAAUCCUGAUUCUCCCACUUAGUAGAGUAUGACCUUGGCCACAGUGUUUAACCUCUCUGUGCUUCAGUUUCCUUGGCUGUAAAACAGU
rnacentral:lncRNA from 1 species